UGAUGUUAGCGGCGGACGGGUGAGUAACACGUGGGUAACCUGCCUGUAAGACUGGGAUAACUCCGGGAAACCGGGGCUAAUACCGGAUGGUUGUUUGAACCGCAUGGUUCAAACAUAAAAGGUGGCUUCGGCUACCACUUACAGAUGGACCCGCGGCGCAUUAGCUAGUUGGUGAGGUAACGGCUCACCAAGGCAACGAUGCGUAGCCGACCUGAGAGGGUGAUCGGCCACACUGGGACUGAGACACGGCCCAGACUCCUACGGGAGGCAGCAGUAGGGAAUCUUCCGCAAUGGACGAAAGUCUGACGGAGCAACGCCGCGUGAGUGAUGAAGGUUUUCGGAUCGUAAAGCUCUGUUGUUAGGGAAGAACAAGUACCGUUCGAACAGGGCGGUACCUUGACGGUACCUAACCAGAAAGCCACGGCUAACUACGUGCCAGCAGCCGCGGUAAUACGUAGGUGGCAAGCGUUUUCCGGAAUUAUUGGGCGUAAAGGGCUCGCAGGCGGUUUCUUAAGUCUGAUGUGAAAGCCCCCGGCUCAACCGGGGAGGGCCAUUGGAAACUGGGGAACUUGAGUGCAGAAGAGGAGAGUGGAAUUCCACGUGUAACGGUGAAAUGCGUAGAGAUGUGGAGGAACACCAGUGGCGAAGGCGACUCUCUGGUCUGUAACUGACGCUGAGGAGCGAAAGCGUGGGGAGCGAACAGGAUUAGAUACCCUGGUAGUCCACGCCGUAAACGAUGAGUGCUAAGUGUUAGGGGGUUUCCGCCCCUUAGUGCUGCAGCUAACGCAUUAAGCACUCCGCCUGGGGAGUACGGUCGCAAGACUGAAACUCAAAGGAAUUGACGGGGGCCCGCACAAGCGGUGGAGCAUGUGGUUUAAUUCGAAGCAACGCGAAGAACCUUACCAGGUCUUGACAUCCUCUGACAAUCCUAGAGAUAGGACGUCCCCUUCGGGGGCAGAGUGACAGGUGGUGCAUGGUUGUCGUCAGCUCGUGUCGUGAGAUGUUGGGUUAAGUCCCGCAACGAGCGCAACCCUUGAUCUUAGUUGCCAGCAUUCAGUUGGGCACUCUAAGGUGACUGCCGGUGACAAACCGGAGGAAGGUGGGGAUGACGUCAAAUCAUCAUGCCCCUUAUGACCUGGGCUACACACGUGCUACAAUGGACAGAACAAAGGGCAGCGAAACCGCGAGGUUAAGCCAAUCCCACAAAUCUGUUCUCAGUUCGGAUCGCAGUCUGCAACUCGACUGCGUGAAGCUGGAAUCGCUAGUAAUCGCGGGUCAGCAUGCCGCGGUGAAUACGUUCCCGGGCCUUGUACACACCGCCCGUCACACCACGAGAGUUUGUAACACCCGAAGUCGGUGAGGUAACCUUUUAGGAGCCAGCCGCCGAAGGUGGGACAGAUGAUUGGGGUGAAGUCGUAACAAGGUAGCCGUAUCGGAAGGUGCGGCUG
rnacentral:rRNA from 1 species